rnacentral:rRNA from 1 species
GUGAGGAAUAUUGGUCAAUGGGCGGGAGCCUGAACCAGCCAAGUCGCGUGAGGGACGACGGUCCUAUGGAUUGUAAACCUCUUUUGUCGGGGAACAAAGGCGCCCACGGGUGGGCGGAUGAGUGUACCCGAAGAAAAAGCAUCGGCUAACUCCGUGCCAGCAGCCGCGGUAAUACGGAGGAUGCGAGCGUUAUCCGGAUUUAUUGGGUUUAAAGGGUGCGUAGGCGGACGGUCAAGUCAGCGGUAAAAAUGCGGUGCUCAACGCCGUACAGCCGUUGAAACUGGCAGUCUUGAGUGGGCGAGAAGUAUGCGGAAUGCGUGGUGUAGCGGUGAAAUGCAUAGAUAUCACGCAGAACUCCGAUUGCGAAGGCAGCAUACCGGCGCCCUACUGACGCUGAGGCACGAAAGCGUGGGUAUCGAACAGGA